UAGGGAAUCUUCGGCAAUGGACGAAAGUCUGACCGAGCAACGCCGCGUGAGUGAAGAAGGUUUUCGGAUCGUAAAACUCUGUUGUUAGAGAAGAACAAGGACGUUAGUAACUGAACGUCCCCUGACGGUAUCUAACCAGACAGCCACGGCUAACUACGUGCCAGCAGCCGCGGUAAUACGUAGGUGGCAAGCGUUGUCCGGCUUUAUUGGGCGUAAAGCGAGCGCAGGCGGUUUCUUAAGUCUGAUGUGAAAGCCCCCGGCUCAACCGGGGAGGGUCAUUGGAAACUGGGAGACGUGAGUGCAGAAGAGGAGAGUGGAAUUCCAUGUGUAGCGGUGAAAUGCGUAGAUAUAUGGAGGAACACCAGUGGCGAAGGCGGCUCUCUGGUCUGUAACUGACGCUGAGGCUCGAAAGCGUGGGGAGCAAACAGG
rnacentral:rRNA from 1 species